ensembl:lincRNA
UGCACUCUCAAUGUGGGCUUCUGCGGCUUCUGCUUAAUGAGCUGAUGAGAAGAAUGCUGGACUAGAAAUUAGGAUCCUGGUUUCACUAUGGACUCUGCCCUAUGCUCCCCUCAUAAAGCUGUUUGAUGUUGGUUAAGCCACUUCACUUCUCCAACCAAAGCCUGAUACCAGGCAGAACCUCCAGCAGUGAAAGGACACCAUCUACAGCUCCUUUGCAGUUGCUUGAGGUUGAGGCGCCCUCUCCUGGCCACAAGGGCACAUGGCUGGCUGUGAGUCGGCUCCCUUUCCGCAGAGGAGAGAAGGCAAGUAGUGUUCCUUUGUCUGGGCUGAGACCUGAGCUCUAGGGCACCUGAACCACCUUCCUGGGGCUGGAGAAGGGAAGAGCACAUCUCUUCAUCUUCUCCUAGGUUUCUCCCCUCUAUGGGAGGGAGAAUCCUCCCCACCUAUGUCAUUCCUCUUCCUCUCUCAUUGUCCUUUUCUUUUUUCUUUGUCUUUUCAUCUUUCUCCAGUUCUUGACUCUGCCUCUUACGCAGACGCACACUUUCGCACAUAGCUUUCGAUCCCCCUCUCUUACCUUCUUCACCAAUUUCCUAUCUUCUUCCCCUGCUCAGCCUCCCUCUUCUCCCCGCAUCUCUUCAAUUCUUCCUUUCUCCUCUUCCCUGGAGCACAGGGGAAGUGUUUUGUAUUCAGACCCGCACUUAAAUCCAGUGUUCUCCAUUGGGACGACCUUGAUCAAGUCGCUUGGUGCUCCGACGCCUUGAAUAAUCGCGAGGAUUGAGUGAGGUGAGCUGCCGUGCCUGCCUCAGCUCUGACCGUGGCAGGAGCACAGCUGUCCCUUCUUCCCCAUCUCCCUUUCGGCCCCAACUAUUCUUCCUCUUCAUUUGUUUUCAGGGCUCCCUCCCCUUUCUCCUUCCCUGUCCUCUUUCCCCUCUCUGCACACCACGGUUGAGAUUCAUAUUCAAACACUGCUUCCUGGGAUUUUUUGAAAAAUGGGGACUUGACCUUCACCUUGAAAGAACUGCCUUUCAGGGCUCAUUGUCUCUCUGUUCUGCCUCCCCAGGAAGAGCGGAGGCUCCUUGUCUGAGUGUCUCGUAAGAGGCUGUGAGCUGAGCUAAGGGACAGCUAGAGGGUGUUUGUAAGUCAAGGGGUGUCUGUUCCCAGAGUAUCUUACAGGAAGAAAGAAACAGUGAGAAAGAAAUCGUGUCCCAAGGCACCCAUGACAUGCUGAUGUGUGUGUCCGUGGGCCGGUUAUUUUAAUUUGCUUGUUCAUUUAUUUAUCGUUUGCAGUAAAUUACAACAGAAUCUCAUGCCACAAUAAAGCAAAGCAAAGCAUUUCAGAUCACUGAGCUCUUAAGAAACCAUCUCACCCGGGGACCUGUGCUGGGAGCCCAGAGGCAGUGACCUUUGGCCUCGAGAGCAUUUCUUCAGCAGAUGCUAGCACAAAUGCCAUGUGGCUGCCUCUCACAGUGUCCCCUGAUGAAAGCCAAGGGCAUAAUCCUAAAACGCAGUCCAACCAUGCAGCUGAGAUCUAGCUGGAAGUUACGGUUAAGCAGGCAAGGGCAGACUUUGUCUUCUCACUCUCUGGGGAGACUAUCACAUCUCAAAACUCAGCUGUAGGAAGCCACACCAACCAGGCAGCAGAGGCUCAGGCAAGGCCUGGGACUGUGGGGAUUUGAAUAGGUGUGGUUCAGAGCCCAAGCUCUGAAAUCAGACAGGUCUGAUUUCAAUUCCAAGUCCCAUGUGUGACCUUGAACCACUUACUUUACGUUGCUGGACUUUAGACUCUGAUGGCUUGGGAAGUACAAACAUCCCAAGGCUUUUGUGAGGACUUGAUGAGCUAAUGUAAGAACUUUACAUGCUGACCAUGCCCAGGAAGACUUGGUAGCUGCAAUUACACAUGACAGUUCUGUGUGAUCACUUCCUGGGGAUCACAGUAAGUCUAGGGUCUGCUGAGUAGGCAAUUGGGAGGCCAUCCAGACACUAGAACGAAGAGAUGUGCACAGCCAGCUGGUCACUUCGAAAGCACAG